AGAUUGAACGCUGGCGGCAUGCCUUACACAUGCAAGUCGAACGGCAGCACAGUAGGAGCUUGCUCUUACGGGUGGCGAGUGGCGGACGGGUGAGGAAUACAUCGGAAUCUACCUUUUGGUGGGGGAUAACGUAGGGAAACUUACGCUAAUACCGCAUACGCCCUUCGGGGGAAAGCCGGGGACCAGCAAUGGCCUGGCGCUGAUAGAUGAGCCGAUGUCGGAUUAGCUAGUUGGUGAGGUAAUGGCUCACCAAGGCGACGAUCCGUAGCUGGUCUGAGAGGAUGAUCAGCCACACUGGAACUGAGACACGGUCCAGACUCCUACGGGAGCAGCAGGUGGGAAUAUUGGACAAUGGCGCAAGCCUGAUCCAGCAUACCGCGUGGUGAAGAAGCGUACGGUUGUAAGUCCGUUUAGUUACGGAAAGAAAGGACAGUUACGGUUAAGUAACCCGGUGUUACGU
rnacentral:rRNA from 1 species